rnacentral:rRNA from 1 species
CCUACGGGGGGCUGCAGUGGGGAAUAUUGCACAAUGGGCGCAAGCCUGAUGCAGCCAUGCCGCGUGUGUGAAGAAGGCCUUCGGGUUGUAAAGCACUCUCAGCGGGGAGGAAGGCGGUGAGGUUAAUAACCUCAUCGAUUGACGUUACCCGCAGAAGAAGCACCGGCUAACUCCGUGCCAGCAGCCGCGGUAAUACGGAGGGUGCAAGCGUUAAUCGGAAUUACUGGGCGUAAAGCGCACGCAGGCGGUCUGUCAAGUCGGAUGUGAAAUCCCCGGGCUCAACCUGGGAACUGCAUUCGAAACUGGCAGGCUAGAGUCUUGUAGAGGGGGGUAGAAUUCCAGGUGUAGCGGUGAAAUGCGUAGAGAUCUGGAGGAAUACCGGUGGCGAAGGCGGCCCCCUGGACAAAGACUGACGCUCAGGUGCGAAAGCGUGGGGAGCAAACAGGAUUAGAUACCCGUGUAGUC